AGUACAUUCUCUUAUAGGAUCUCUCUUUCUUUUUUCAAUAUUUCGACACUCUGAUGUUGGGGAAUGUACUUUGAAUGUACUAGCAUACAUACAUAUUAAUAUAUGCC